AUUUAUUAUCCAAAAGUUGUGU
rnacentral:siRNA from 1 species